rnacentral:rRNA from 1 species
UACAGAGGUCUCAAGCGUUGUUCGGAUUCAUUGGGCGUAAAGGGUGCGUAGGUGGCGCGAUAAGUCGGGUGUGAAAUCUCGGAGCUUAACUCCGAAAUUGCAUUCGAUACUGCCGUGCUCGAGGACUGGAGAGGAGACUGGAAUUCAUGGUGUAGCAGUGAAAUGCGUUGAGAUCGUGAGGAACGCCCGCGGCGAAAGCGAGCGCCUGGACCCUUUCUGACGCUGAGACGCGAAAGCCAGGGGAGCGAACGGG